GGCACGGGGGGCCUACGGGAGGCAGCAGUGAGGAAUAUUGGUCAAUGGACGCAAGUCUGAACCAGCCAUGCCGCGUGCAGGAAGACGGCCCUACGGGUUGUAAACUGCUUUUGUAAAGGAAGAAACCCUUCUACGUGUAGAGGGCUGACGGUACUUUACGAAUAAGGACCGGCUAACUCCGUGCCAGCAGCCGCGGUAAUACGGAGGGUCCAAGCGUUAUCCGGAAUUAUUGGGUUUAAAGGGUCCGUAGGCGGGCGUAUAAGUCAGUGGUGAAAUCCUGCAGCUUAACUGUAGAACUGCCAUUGAUACUGUAUGUCUUGAAUGUGUUUGAAGUGGGCGGAAUAUGACAUGUAGCGGUGAAAUGCUUAGAUAUGUCAUAGAACACCGAUUGCGAAGGCAGCUCACUAAGCCACAAUUGACGCUAAUGGACGAAAGCGUGGGGAGCGAACAGGAUUAGAUACCCUGGUAGUCCACGCCGUAAACGAUGAUUACUCGAUAUUGGCGAUAUAC
rnacentral:rRNA from 1 species